rnacentral:lncRNA from 1 species
GUAAGUGGAAAUUAAUUGUAUAAAACUUGUAAUUACAAACUAGAUGUGUAACAUUUCCUAGAUAUGCUUCUUUGGUAUGUGGCCUCUAUUAUCAUUGUGAUAUUUUUCCUGUAAGAUCUCAAGUUUCUUAAUCUUAAAAUCUACCAAGCUGUCAGGUUGGGGAGGGAGCGCUAACAGUAGUGCCUACCUGCCCUGUGGGUACUGGCAUCUGUGUGCACAGAAAGCUCAUGGGCCAGCACAAGGAGGCUCCAUCUAGAGACCCAGGCAUGUGGCACAGACGGUGCAUGCCCUUACGGAGGUCUGAGCUCUGUGCUCGGAAACCAUGAACUCUGCUUGGGGAGCUGAGGUAGGGAGGGUUGAAGGGAGAUGGCAUAGAGCAAGAGUCCUAAAGGAAGAAGAGAGAGAAGGACAUUUCUGAUAGAGCAUACAACACAGGCAAAGGCCUCAGGGUGUGAGAGGCCAUGGCUUGCCUGAGAUCGAGGGCGCAAGGCAGGGCGGGGGAUGGGAAAAGUGUUGGGGCCACACUCUGAUAGCUCAACCAGAACACACUGUCUCUUGCCUCUAGGCAACAGGAGCCUUGGGAGGAUGCUGCAUAUUGUGGGGGUGGGGGGGGUGGGGGGUGGGUUUAGACCCGAUUUGGGAAAAUAACUGGCAGAGGGGCAAUGUGUGUUGGAGGGGAGAGAGCUUUGCAGCUCCUGGGAGAACACGAGGAGCGCCAGAGCUGGGCAGUGACUGUCGAAGGAGGGCGGAGUCCAGAGGUGCUUGGUGGUAGAAAGUCAGCGAAGUGAGGAUGAGAUUUGGAGGUGACAGGGAGGGAGGGGCUGGAGAUUUAUGACUUGGCGCAAUUAGGUGGACGGGGCUGUCACUGAGUCAGGGAAGGCAGAGGAAGAACAGGUUUGGGGUGGAGGCAUGGAGGAGGGGUGGUGAGGAUAUAUGCUAGUUGUAAAUGAUCUAGUUUUCUUCUGAGCAGCUUUUGGGCUCCUUAGAUUCCAAACUGACAUCACCAGGGGUUGAGUCUUGGUGAGGCAGCACGGUAGGCUGGCCAAGCCCACAGACUUCAGCCAACAGCCUGGAAUCAGAGCCCGGCUCCAUGCUUACCAACACGGCCCUGGGGAUGUAAUUGAACCUCUGUGUGUCUCCAGGUCGUCCUUUGUACAAUAUUACAGGACCGUAGGGCUGCUAAAAGUAUGGAUAAAAGAGUCCAUACAUGUGAAAUGCCUGGCCCACUCUAAGCACUAUAUAAAUAUUUGAUAUGGCCACAGGAAUGCCAGGGGCGAAACUUAGGCCCAUUUCCUCCUUCUGUCUUCAAAUAACUUCAGUUUGACUCAAAACCAACAUUUGUAGGCAGACAACUGAGCCCAUUCACAGAAUGGUGAAAUCACUGAAUAGUGAAAACAGUACAGCAGUAGCUGAUCAGAAAGUGGGAAGCUUUUUGUAAUUUUCCCCUUUCUCAUCACUACUUUCAUCAAAGCAUUUACUGAACAUCUGUUGGAUUUAGGGUUCUGUAGGAGCCAUGUCUCACGAAAGCCUGUCUAGUUAGUAAACCAGGACACACAUAAGCAGGCUAUGAUAAUGUCAAAAAUAGGCUGUGCUGUAGGUGCGGAGGAAUUGAAGAAAGUGAGUGGAGACAGAAUGAUCUGAGGGGUGCAGGAUCCUGGGUCCCUACCCUUCCUGGGCAGCAGUGGGAGAUGGGAGGGCGUGAUAGAGCUGGGUUCUAAGAGGCCAUUCCACAGCUCUGACCCUUGGGCUGUGGUGAGGAGGGGCAGGCGAAACCAACAUUACUGACUUUACUACCUGAUUCCCAUUCCACAUGAGGGCCGUGGGCUGCACUUAGCACGGGGCAAUUGCAACAAAACAAAACAACAAAAAACAAAACCAGUUUUAGAGCGGAAGAGCUGACCCUGUGAACUGCUGUGGCAGGAUGGACAGUGGAGGGGGAAGAGGCACAGAGCCCACCUCCCUACCCCCGGGGGCUCUGGGGCCGGAGCAGGUGACCGCUUGGGACCAGAGGAGCCUUUCCAGGGAGAUUUUUAUUCUGGUGUCAGUUGCUAAGGAGAGAAAGGUAAAAAUAAGUAUUCAUGUUUUACAACAUUUUCUUAUCCUCGAACAUGGCAAAGAAUACAUUUUUUUCCUACUUUAAACCUUGGGGGGAGUUUUAAAAAUUCAGGACCACCUUUUUCAUUGUAGGUAAUGUUUAACUUACUUACUUAAUUUAAAUUAAUGUGGACAACAAUGGUGACAAAAGGCAACUGCGUUUAAGUGGUAUUCUAACUAAAAAUUCCUUUGGGAGUGUCUGCAAGUCACCCAGUUCAACGCAAAUAUCCAUAAAACAUGUACUAAUUGUCCCAGAAGGGAAUGAUUGUUUCAGAAGGGCAGAAGGCCAACUGAGCUGAAAUACCAGGUUCUUAAUUUAUAAAGUCAAUAAAAGCACUCUUUUGUAAGCUCUUCUGAAGUCAUAGCAUAUUAUCAGGUAAGUCUGGCACUAAAGCUCUUUAUGCUUAAAUACUUCACAAGGGCACGAAACAAGGGAACAUACACUUAGAGCUGCUUGAAUUCGUUUUGUGAGAGACUUAAUACUGUGUGAAUUUACUCAGCUUUCAGGAACACAGAGGCAUUUUAAUUUUUUUAAAAAGUCACCAGCUACAUACUCAAGAUAAAAACACACACUCUUAACUACCUGCAGUUUAUAAUAAUCCACAGAACUUUUACAGCAGGCCUACUUUGGAAACUGUAUUCAAGGUCUUGCUGAAGAUUCGGGAAAUCAUGCUCCUUUCUUAUUUAAACAAUAUGUUGUCUUCUUGUGUGAAUAGAGGGAUGAAUUAAUACUCCUUUUUUUUUCUAGGUGGCUUUGUGCCAAUGGAGGGAAAAAGAAAGAUAACAAGGAACUAGACACUGUGGGUGAACUCCUGGCCUCCUGCUGCGAGGCGCCUGAGGACCCUGGGCUCUCCCUCCUCGGUUUGGGCUUCAGAGGACCCUGGGCUCUCCCUCCUCGGUUUGGGCUUCAGAAGGUGGCUCCACUUCUGGGUGGCAGUGACAGGCAGACCUGCUGAGAGCCCAGAGAGAAAUACUACCCUGCAGGGAGAUAAGGUCAUCAACCUGCCACCACUGGUAUAUUCCCAUAAUAAUGUCCACUGGUCCCAGUCGAGAGGCACCCACUCCUUUUCCUCUUGUCUAACACAGGAGUCUCGAGCUGCCUAAAGAAACCCAUUUUUGGGAAGAGGAUUAAAAACAAACAAACAAACAACAAAACUGUGCUCCAAAUGUAUAUAACCCUGUAGAUUAAUGAAACAUUUGGGCCAAAGUUCUGUAUUCUCAUAGGCAAAGACUCUCAUAGUAUUAAUAUAUUCACUGAUUUUAAAUUAUUUUUAACUUAAAGGUUUUGUUUUAAUCUGCUGUGAUGAAAUCUUGGAUCACUAUAGCUGUAAAUGAGUAGAUUUAUCUAGAUAUGUUAAAUGAACAAAUGUAAAAUGUUCGAUACAGCACAGGUGCUUAAUAAGUUGGCUUCAGAGCCGUGUUUUUCCAACAUGUUCUGAUGAUCCAAGUUUGAUACUUAAGACAAUUAAAAACAAGAAAUUUAACUUAGUUUCAGCACAUGUAUGGUAUAUAUAUUUGUAUGGCUAUGAGCUUAGGCUGGUCGUAGACAUAAGACAAUUGAAGCACUCUUUUCCACAGGUAUCGGCCGCAUUCUGUUUCACUCCCUAUAAGCAUUUGAUUUUGCACUACAGGUAUUACUGAGACCAUGUGGAAUCUCACUUAGUUUUAUUUCCCUUUAGGGUAGUUGCCUAAAUCAUAAAAUUAUGCUUCACUGUAGUGGUAGGAAAUCUAAUUUAUUUAUUUAUAAGAUGGAGUCUCAUUCUGUUGCCCAGGCUAGAGUGCAGUGGCAUGAUCUCAGCUCACUGCAACCUCUGCCUCCUGGGUUCAAGCGAUUCUCCUGCCUCAGCCUCUCAAGUAGCUGGGAUUACAGGCACCUGCCACAAACUCUCAGCAAAUUUUUGUAUUUUUAGUAGAGACAGGGUUUCACUAUGUUGGCCAGGCUGAUCUUCAACUCCUGACCUCAAGUGAUGCACCCACCUUGGCCUCCCAAAGUGCUGGGAUAACAGGCAUGAGCCACCCUGUGCCCACACCUGGCCAAGAAAUAAUCUAAUUUUUUUAAAAAGACAUAAAAUGUGUUCAUGAAAGAGAUUCCACCCAAAUCAACACAUAAAUCACUCUAGUGGCAAAGUAGUUUAUUUAUUAUGUUUCCUUAAAGGAGAUUAAGACUCGACUCCUCUCCCAGCCGGGGCAGCCCGGGAACUCAGCGCCCCCCUCCAGUGGUGCCCAGAGCCUCCCAGCGCCAUGUCCAUCUCUCUUCCUCUUGGCAUCCAUUGUGGCACUCAGCCCACCUCUGCCUCAUUUCAUGAUUGUGUGCUUUUGUAGUUUAGAAACAGCUGCGGCAAGCAUUUAGGUAAAGGCCUCAAGCAGACAACCUACAGGGUGCUCCGUGUCAGUGCAGGUGCCUGGGCAGAGAAGCUGCGGCACAGCUGCAGAGCACCAGUGACUGUCCCACCCUGGAGCCUGGAGCGAACCAGAGGACUUGUUAAAACAGAUUGUUGGACCCACACUGUGUUUCUGGAUUGGGAGUCAGGAGUAGGCCUGAGAAUGUGCAUUUCUAAUGAGUGCCCAGGUAAUGCUGAUGUCACUGGUCCAGGGACCACACUUUGAGAACCAAUGUGAUAAUCAAGAAAUGUCUUUUGAAUCAAAUUUACUAAAAUAUUCAUAAACCUUUCUCCACCCGAAGGAUGCAAACGAAAGGGAGACACAGAGACUGUCAAAGCUAUAGGCAGUCUGCAGGUGAUGAUUUUAUUUUUUUAAAUGUGGUUUGGAAUCUGGAGUCUGAGACCUGGACCCAAAUCUCACCACAGCUUUGUGCUGGCUGAGCACCCUGGGAAGGAAGGUAACUUCACAGCGGAACCCCUAGCCCCACACCUAUUAUCUAAAGACGAUUGCAUGGCCCCCAGAACAGUGGGGACUGAAUUUCGUAUGGCAGGACCUCAUCUGAAUAUACAGUAGGUGCUCAAUACGUGCUAUUACCCUCUUCCCUUUUUGGCAGUAGACAGAUAAGCUUUUUCUAUGACUGAUACCAUUUUUAGAUGUGAAAACACUGACUCCUAGAGAGUAACAUUUCAUCACUAGCCUUCAAUGGUAAUUCAUACAAUUGGAAAUGCAUGGAAAGCCAUAUUUUUCACUUCCUUCUCCUCUCUUGUUAAUCUUAUCUCAUAUUCAUGGAACUUGUUAGCAACUUUGAUUUUUUUAUUCAAAGGAAGUGCCAUAACACUUCAAAUCAUGUCAAUUCCAUGACACUCAUCUUCAAAAAAGAUCUUUCAGUUCAAAUCUUAGAAAGCAAGUUUUUAAAUUAUAAAAGAUAUGCUUCUUAUAUUCUCCAAAUCCUGCUCCUGAACAGGGAUAUUGUUUCAAUAGUUUGUUCCUUUUUCACAGCUGAGCAGUGUUUCAUUGUAUGGAUAUCCACCAUGUGUUUAUCCAUUCACCUGCUGAUGGCUGUUUGGGUUGUUUUCCCUUUUUUUUGCUAUUCCAAAUAAAGUUGCUAUGAAUAUUUGUAUACAAGUCUUUGUGUGGAAACAUGCUUUUAUUUUUCUUGGGUAGACACCUAGUAGUGGAAUGGCUGGGUCACAUGGUAGGUCUAAUUUUCACUUUUAAGAAACUACCAAACCAGGCUGGGCGCAGUGGCUCACAUCUGUAAUUCCAGCACUUUGGGAGACAGAGGUGGGAGGAUCACCUGAGGUCACGAGUUCAAGACCAUCCUGAGCAGCAUAGCAAGACCCCAUCAUCUUUACAAAAAAAUAAAAUGUCUAUUGAAUCAAAUUUACUUAAUAUUCACAAACUUUUCUCCACCGGAAGGAUGUGAAGAAGGGGAGACAGAGACUGUUAAAGCUAUAGGCAGUCUGCAGGUGAUUUUUUUUUUUUUAAUGUGGUUUGGAAUCUGGAGUCGGAGACUUGGGCCCAAAUCUCACCACAGCUUUGUGCUGGCUGAGCAUCCUGUAUAUAAUUUAAAUCAAUGUGUAAGUCUCAUUAUAAAAAGUUACAAAAAUUAGGCUGGGCACGGUGGCUCACGCCUGUAAUCCCAGCACUUUAGGAGGCCAAGGCGGGUGGAUCACGAGGUCAGAUCGAGACCAUCCUGGCUAACACGGUGAAACCCCAUCUCUACUAAAAAUUCAAAAAUUAGCUGGCGUGGUGGUGGGCGCCUGUAGUCCCAGCUACUCAGGAGGCUGAGGCAGGAGAAUGGCAUGAAGCCGGGAGGCGGGGCUUGCAGUGAGCCGAGAUCGUGCCACUGCACUCCAGCCUGGGCGACAGAGUGAGACUCUGUCUCAAAAAAAAAAAAAAAGUUGCAAAAAUUAAAAAAUAUUAAAAGUUGUAGUCAGCCAGGCGUGGUGGCUCAUACCUGUAAUCCCAGCACUUUGGGAGGCUGAGGUGGGAGGAUCACUUGAGCCGAGAAUUUCAAGACUAGCCUAGGCAACAUACUGAGACCUCUGUCUCUACAAAAAAUAAAAAAUUUAGCUGGAUAUGAUGGCACAUGCCUGUGGUCUCAGCUAGUCAGGCUCAGGAGGAGCAUUUGAGCCAGGGAGUCAAAGCUGCAGUGAGCCAAGGUCACACCACUGUACUCCAGCCUGGGUGACACAGCAAGACCCUGUCUCAAAAAAAAAAAAAAAAAAAAAAAAAAAAAGAAAAGAAAAAAGAAAACCUUACAAUAAGUGAAACAGGUAGAGAGUAACAAAAUACAUUCAAUUCAAAAUGAACUCUCUAACCACUGCUCACAUCCCCACUACGGUGUACUCAUCAGAGUAGUCAGUGAUACUUUUAUGAUAUACGUUGGAUCACAUCAUUCUUUUGUUUAAAAAUUUCCAGUGGCUUCCUGUGACAUUUGAGAAAAAAGCCAACCGUGGUAAGGUCAUCCUUACCGUGACCUCAGAGCAACCUCUACCAUCCCACCUGCCCAUCUGCUCUCCCUCUCCCCUUUAUCCACAGUGCUCCAGCCACUCUGGACACCCUGCCAGUCCUUGACUGCAUCCAGCAUGCCCCUGCUCAGAACCUCUGCACAUCUUUCCUCUGCCUGGGCUGAUCUCCCCCUGGAUGGCUGCAUGGCUGCUCGUGCUACUGUGUUCCAGGCAAGUUGGUCUCUGCUCUAAUGCCACUGCCCCAGAGGAUCCUCCCUCAGCCGCCCUUUAAAAAAUGGCCUACCUUAUCAUUUAUCUUUUCUUGCUUUUUCUUCAUUGUACUUAAUUCCCUCAAAAAUAAUAUAUAUUUUUACUAUCAGCUUUCACCUAGUUGGAACCUAUGAUCUUUAAAGGUGGGGGUCUUGUUCAGUGCUGUAUCCCCAGUGCUUAGAACAUGCCUGAACACAGGAGUUGCUAUCUGUUGCAUGCAUAAAUGAACUCAGAACAAGAAUGCCUGAUUUUCCAAUGUCCAUACCAGGUUUUACACAUCUUUAUAAUCUUUGCCAAUCCAGUAUGUGGGAAACAGUAUUCAUUUCAAUUUGUAUUUCUUGAGUAUAAGUGAGGUCGAGUAUCCUAUGAUGUUUUUUGGCUUGGCCUUCAGAAAACUAAUUUUUCUUUUCUUUUUUUUUUUUUUGAGACAGAGUCUUGCACUGUCACCCAGGCUGCAGUGCAGUGGCGCAAUCUCGGCUCACUGCAAGCUCCGCCUCCUAGGUUAACGCCAUUCUCCUGCCUCAGCCUCCUGAGUAGCUGGGACUACAGGCGCCCGCCACC